rnacentral:rRNA from 1 species
AUGUGGCGAGCCGCUGUUCUGCUAUGCUUCAUUCUUCAAGGUGCCACUGUUGCUGCUGAUAACGAGACAUGGGGCUACGUUGAAAUUCGUCACAAGGCGCACCUAUUUUGGUGGUACUACAAAAGCCCACAUCGGGUGUCCUCGCCAGUAAAGCCAUGGCCAACCAUCCUCUGGUUGGAGGGCGGUCCGGGAGGGUCAGGCGUCGGGGGUGGCAACUUCCAGGGGAUCGGGCCGCUGGAUGUCAAUCUGAAGCCACACAACUCGACGUGGCUGCAGAAGGCUGAUCUCAUCUUCGUGGACUUACCAGUGGGUGUUGGGUAUAGCUACGUGGAGGACCCAAGCGUGCUAGCUACGACGGACGUGCAAGUUGCUUCUGAUGCCACCGAGCUCCUCAAGGCACUUACCAAGGAGAUACCCACCUUGCACAGCAGCCCGUUGUUCCUUGUCGGCGAGUCCUAUGGUGGCAAGCUUGCAGCGAAGAUUGGAAUCUCCGUGGCAAAGGCCAUCCACGCCGGGGCCCUCAAGCUCACACUAGGGGGUGUGGUGCUUGGGGAUAGCUGGAUCUCACCAGAUGAUUUUGCGCUGUCAUAUGCGCAACUGUUGCAUGAUGUAUCGAGGCUGAGCGACGAAGCUGUUGCCCCUCUCAACAGAAUGGCGGCAAUUGUAAAAGAGCAGAUAGCAGCCGGACAAUUCACCACGGCGAAGAUGACGUGGACGAAUCUUGUUGAUUUGAUUGACCAGCAGAGUGAUGGCGUGGAUAUGCUAAAUUUCUUGCUUGACAAAGGCGAAGGCUCAUCGACGAGCCAGGUGUUUCCGUCGACCCCCAACACCAUUGACGGUCUCAUGAAUGGGGUCAUUAAAGAAAAGUUGAAGGUUAUUCCUAAGAACAUAAUUUGGCAAGGAGUGGCUAUUCAAGUUUUCGAAGCAAUGAAUGCCACCUACAUGAAGCCAGCAAUCGAUGAGGUUGAUCAAUUGCUAGCAUAUGGAGUAAAUGUGUCGGUUUACAAUGGGCAAUUUGAUGUGAUAUGCUCGACAAUCGGUGUAGAAGCUUGGGUCAAAAAACUCAAAUGGGCUGGUCUGAAGAGUUUCUUGAGCACGCCAAGGCAGGCUUUGCGAUACUGUGAUUCUCCAGCGCGCUGCCUCAACCCCGUGAAGGCAUACGCUAGAUCAUACCAGAACCUGAACUUCUACUGGAUCCUUGGAGCUGGACACAAGGUGCCUGUCGACAAGCCCGAUGUUGCUUUAAGGAUGAUCAGCAGCAUCGUUCAGUCACCUGACAGCUAG